rnacentral:other from 1 species
CAUAGGCUGCAUUGUACGUAUGGAUAUUAAGUUUUAACCUUUAUGCUGUAACAGGGAGUUUUAUAUAGAAGUUGGAAUGACAUGCCUCAUUCUCUUACGACAAUGAGGACAGGCAGGAUAACUUUUGCGAACACCCACUUUGAGGAGUGGUGGUUUAAAACUUUCUUAUUAGAGUACGGCAAAGGCGGCUUACUU